GGCAGCGUAGCCUAGUGGUUAGGGCGCCGGACUUGAAAUCCGGCAGUCGCGGGUUCAAGUCCCGCUCUGACCA
rnacentral:tRNA from 1 species